rnacentral:rRNA from 1 species
UGAUGUUAGCGGCGGACGGGUGAGUAACACGUGGGUAACCUGCCUGUAAGACUGGGAUAACUCCGGGAAACCGGGGCUAAUACCGGAUGGUUGUCUGAACCGCAUGGUUCAGACAUAAAAGGUGGCUUCGGCUACCACUUACAGAUGGACCCGCGGCGCAUUAGCUAGUUGGUGAGGUAACGGCUCACCAAGGCGACGAUGCGUAGCCGACCUGAGAGGGUGAUCGGCCACACUGGGACUGAGACACGGCCCAGACUCCUACGGGAGGCAGCAGUAGGGAAUCUUCCGCAAUGGACGAAAGUCUGACGGAGCAACGCCGCGUGAGUGAUGAAGGUUUUCGGAUCGUAAAGCUCUGUUGUUAGGGAAGAACAAGUGCCGUUCAAAUAGGGCGGCACCUUGACGGUACCUAACCAGAAAGCCACGGCUAACUACGUGCCAGCAGCCGCGGUAAUACGUAGGUGGCAAGCGUUGUCCGGAAUUAUUGGGCGUAAAGGGCUCGCAGGCGGUUUCUUAAGUCUGAUGUGAAAGCCCCCGGCUCAACCGGGGAGGGUCAUUGGAAACUGGGGAACUUGAGUGCAGAAGAGGAGAGUGGAAUUCCACGUGUAGCGGUGAAAUGCGUAGAGAUGUGGAGGAACACCAGUGGCGAAGGCGACUCUCUGGUCUGUAACUGACGCUGAGGAGCGAAAGCGUGGGGAGCGAACAGGAUUAGAUACCCUGGUAGUCCACGCCGUAAACGAUGAGUGCUAAGUGUUAGGGGGUUUCCGCCCCUUAGUGCUGCAGCUAACGCAUUAAGCACUCCGCCUGGGGAGUACGGUCGCAAGACUGAAACUCAAAGGAAUUGACGGGGGCCCGCACAAGCGGUGGAGCAUGUGGUUUAAUUCGAAGCAACGCGAAGAACCUUACCAGGUCUUGACAUCCUCUGACAAUCCUAGAGAUAGGACGUCCCCUUCGGGGGCAGAGUGACAGGUGGUGCAUGGUUGUCGUCAGCUCGUGUCGUGAGAUGUUGGGUUAAGUCCCGCAACGAGCGCAACCCUUGAUCUUAGUUGCCAGCAUUCAGUUGGGCACUCUAAGGUGACUGCCGGUGACAAACCGGAGGAAGGUGGGGAUGACGUCAAAUCAUCAUGCCCCUUAUGACCUGGGCUACACACGUGCUACAAUGGACAGAACAAAGGGCAGCGAAACCGCGAGGUUAAGCCAAUCCCACAAAUCUGUUCUCAGUUCGGAUCGCAGUCUGCAACUCGACUGCGUGAAGCUGGAAUCGCUAG